rnacentral:rRNA from 1 species
GGCCUAUCAGCUAGCUCAAGCCCCUAAAUACAAUGACACCCUAUCAAUAAACCCUAACACCCCAAACAAACACUGACCAAACCAUUUUUCCACCCAAGUAUGGGCGACAGAAAAGGACCCCCUGAAGCAAUAGCAGAAGUACCGCAAGGGAACGCUGAAAGAGAAAUGAAAUAAAUAGAUAAGCACAAAGAAGCAGAGAUUAGUUCUCGUACCUUUUGCAUCAUGAUUUAGCAAGACACCGCCAAGCACAGAGCACUUUAGUUUGGCCCCCCGAAACCAGGUGAGCUACUCCAAGACAGCCGAUCUGGGCAAACCCGUCUCUGUGGCAAAAGAGUGGGAAGAGCUUUGAGUAGAGGUGACAGACCUACCGAACCUGGCUAUAGCUGGUUGUUCAAGAAAUGAAUAGAAGUUCAGCCUUUUGCUCUUCUUAACCCAAAGUCAGUUACACUUUUACGUGAACAAGAAGACAAAAGAGUUAGUCAAAGGGGGUACAGCCCCUUUGAAAGAGACACAACUUUCCCAGAAGGGUUAAGAUCAUACUACCAUUAAGGGCCCGUGCUCUGGUAGGCCUAAGAGCAGCCAUCCAUGAAGAAAGCGUUAAAGCUCGCGCACCCCCUCUCCCCCAUUAUUAGGACAAACUUAUCUUACCCCCCUGUGUAAUGUAUUGAACCUUCCCAUCCGACCUAUGGAAGAGAUCAUGCUAAUAUGAGUAAUAAGAGACCAAGACUCUCUCCCCGCACAAGCGUAUACCGGAACGAACCAACACCGGUAAUUAACGGCCCCAAUACCAGAGGGCACUGAAGUCAAAUAACAGAAAUACUAGAAAUGCUUUCACACACCCCCCCCGUUAACCUUACACCAGCGUGCUUACAAGGAAAGACUAAAAGAAAAAGAAGGAACUCGGCA